rnacentral:rRNA from 1 species
UACAGAGGGUGCAAGCGUUAAUCGGAAUUACUGGGCGUAAAGCGUGCGCAGUCGGUUAUUUAAGUCGGGCGUGAAAGCCCCGGGCUCAACCUGGGAAUUGCGUUCGAUACUGGAUAGCUAGAGUUCGGCAGAGGGAAGCGGAAUUUCUGGUGUAGCGGUGAAAUGCGUAGAUAUCAGAAGGAACAUCAGUGGCGAAAGCGGCUUCCUGGACCAGAACUGACGAUCAGGCACGAAAGCGUGGGGAGCAAACAGG